rnacentral:lncRNA from 1 species
UUUCGGCUGUUGUUUGCAGUGCUGUAGUGAACGUCCAGGGUGCGUGCAUCUUUUUGGAUUAGGCUUUGCUCUGGAUAUACGCCCAGGAGUCGGAUUGCUGGAUCCUACGUUAGUUCUGUUUUUAGUUGGAUGAGACUUUCGUGCUGUUUUCCACAGGGGUUGCCCCAGUUUACAUCCCCACCCACGGUGUUGUCGGAGGGUCCAGUGCACAACACACUUCAUCUUAGGCUCUAUCCCUUUGGGGAGAUGUGUGGUCAAAAAUUAGCAUUUUAAAGUAACUUGAAGUAAUGAUUGUUCUUUGUGUGGUUAUGCCACCAACUUGGUGUGCAGUUUAGCUCAUUUUGUUUCACUGACUGCCUUUUGUUUAAUUUUGUUUUUAAAUUACAUAAUAGGAUGACAUGGUUUCAGUGUCAACAUUGUACAACAAGAUACAGCCAAAACGAUCAGCCCGUGUCCCCUCCCUGUUUGUGUGAUUUUUACCUUCUCAUCUUAAAUUGUUGGUUUUGUUGGCAUAAAGUCAUUGAUAGUACUUCCUCAUAAUCCUUUCAAUGUCUGAGAAGUCAGAGGUAAUCUUGCAUUGGCGAUUUUUGUGGUCUGUAUUUUCUCUUCUUUUUUCUUGCUAUUGGUGUUCUUAAGGGUUUGUCACUUUUUAAAUUUUUUUUUAUUUUUUGUCUUUUCUAGGGCUGCUCCCGUGGCAUAUGGAGGUUCCCAGGCCAGGGGUCGAAUCUGAGCUGCAGAUGCUGGCCUACGCCAGAGCCACAGCAACUCGGGAUCCGAGCCGCGUCUGCAACCUGUGUAGGUUCACAGCUCACGGCAAUGCCAGAUCCUUAAUCCACUGAUCGAGGCCAGGGAUCAAACCCGCAACCUCAUGGUUCCUAGUCAGAUUCGUUAACCACUGAGCCACGACGGGAACUCCACUUUUGUUGUUUUUAAAUAACUUGUUUUUGGUCUUUUAUUUUUAUUUUUAUUUUUUUUAAUUUUUUUUAUUAUUUUCCCACUGUACAGCAAGGGGGUCAGGUCAUCCUUAGAUGUAUACAUUGCAGUUACAGUUUUUUCCCCCACCCUUUCUUCUGUUGCGACAUGAGUAUCUAGACAUUAUCUUAGGAAAUUUAUUUUUCAGUUGUUUUUCUGUUUGCUAUGCCCUUAAUUUCCACCCUCAUCUUUAUUUCCUUCUUGAUGAUUGCCUUGAAUGUGUUUUCCCUCUUUUUCUUUUCCUUCUUUUGAAAUGGCUGUACCCAUGGCAUAUUGAAGUUCCCAGGCCGGGGUCUGAAUCCAAGCUACAGCUGUGAUCCUUUCACUCCCUGCACUGGGCUAGGGGGUCAAACCCGUGCCUCCUCAGUGACCCAAGCUUCUGCAGUCAGACUCGUAACCAAGUGAAACACAGUGGGAACUCUUGUUUCCUCCCCACACACACAUUUUUAAGGGGAAAAAUACUUAGAUUGGUUUCAGAUCUUUCUUCUUUACUAAUAUAGGCAUUUAAUGCUUCAAAAUUCCCCUUAAGUCUUGCAUUAGCUGUGUCUCAUAUAUCUUGAUUUGGUUUGUUGUUAUUUUUGCUGAGCUCAAAAUCCUUGCCAAUUAACCUUGUAUUUUUUUCUUUUUCCCAUUGUUAUUUAGAAGUGUGUUUAAUUUCCAAAUAUUUUGUGCAAUUUCCCAGUUUUCUUGGUUGUUUAUAUCUAACUUCAUUAUGGUUAGUGAAUAUACACUGUGUAAUUUCCACCCUUUUAAAUUUAUUAAUGAUUUUUUAAUAUCCUAGCCAUGUGGCUUAUCUUGGGGAAUGUUCUGUAUAUGCUUGAGAAGAAUGUCUUAUUUUUUUGGCAUUCAGUGGGUUGUGCUAUAGAUGUUUGUUAAGGUAAAUUGGUUGGUAGUGCUACUUGUCUUGGCUUUCCUUAUUGAACUUCUUUCUGCUUGUUUCUCUCCAGUAUUGGUAUGUUCGACUAUUUCUAUUUCUUUUCGUCAAUUUUAUUUUUAUGUAUUUUGAGGCUCCAUUAUUAAGUGCAUACAUAUUUAUAAAUGUUAUCUUUCCUGCUGAAUGGACCCUUUUAUUACAAAAUUUUACUUUUUUCUAGUAGCAAUUUUUGUCUUAAUAUUUUGUUUGAUAACUAGUGUAGCUCUACUUUGCUGAAUUACUGUUUGCAUGAUUCAUCUUUAUCCUUUUGUUUUCAGUUUGUGUCUUUGAACCUAAGUUGAGUCACUUAGAUAGCAUGUAGUUGAAUCAUCCUUAUUUUUAAAAAUCUAUACUGUUAGUCUGCUUUUUGAUUUCGGUGUUUAAUCCAUUUACAUUUAUGUAGUUCCUGAUUAAGUAAAAUGUAUGCCUACCAUUUCAUUUUAUUUACCUUCUACAAAUCUUGUGUCUCUUUGGUUUAUCCAUUGCUCUGUUACUGCCUUCUUUUGUGUUAGGUAGAUUUUUUCCCCCACCUCUAUUAUUUUUAAAAUUAUUAUCUUGGGAAUCACAGUUUAGAUCUAAAUUUAAAACAACCCAGUUCGUAUUAACCCUGGCAUAAUUUCACUAGUACACAGAAUCUUGUUCCACUUGUAGCUCCAUGCCCUCCCUCACCUUUGUGCUAAUUACGUCUUUAUACAUUGUAAACCUGUUAAUAUUUUUAUCGUUAUUUCUUUAUUCAGUUGCCUUGCAAAUCAAGUAGAAAAGCAUUACGCCUUCUAUCCCUCCAAAAUACAGUUACAUUAGCUUUUAUUUUUAUCUGUGUAAUUUCCUUUACUGAUGUUCUUAACUUCCUUACUUGGGAUUCGAGUUACCAUUUAGUUUCAUUUCAUUGCAGGUUGAAGCACACUCUUUUUAUUUCUCGUAGAGAAGGUCUACUAGUGACACAUCUCUCAGUUUUUAUUUUUGAAAUUAUUAACUUUAUUGAGGGAUAGUUUUGCUAGACAUAAAAUUCUUGGCUGAUAGUCUUUCUCUGGCAGUGCUUUGAAUCUGUCUGACUUUGGGUCUCUAUGAUUUUUAAUUUGAAGUAGGCUCUUGAUCUCAUUGCUUUUAACAGACACUCUAGGUCAGGGCCUUCCCUGCUCAGCGAGUUCUGACAUCAAAGAAUGGUAAUGUUUUGUGAAUGGGGGUUUUCCAGGGAGUUGAGACAGGUCAAGCAGUGACAGUACUCUGGGAAUUGUAUUUUUUGAGGAGGUCCAAACUCAGGGGCUGCAGGGCUACAUGUUUUCACAGUUACAGGGAAAAGGAGGCACUGGUUUGCAAGGUUGCUAGUUUUUAAGGCCACUGCAGAGCUUAGGAGGGGGAUACAAUAGGCCACAUUAAAAUGUCAUAAACUCAGCUCUUCUAAUCAGGUUUCAUCAAUUUUUCUUGGGAUAGUAAUCCUUGAAUUACUCUUAUUAGUUUUUUGCCAAUUUCUGUAAUUUGGAAACUUUAUUUUCAUAAUUGUGCCAGGAUUUUCAUUGUCCUUUUGGGUGAGAGCAUUUAUGUAGGUCCUUACUCCACUAUCCUGGAAAUUCUGCCACCUGCCCCCCCCAUAUAGAUGAAUUUUAAUAGCAAGUGAAACCAUAAGUGCCUGAAUAUUACAAACAGCAUUUACUUAGUUUAUACAUGUAUAAGCAACACAGAAGAACACAAAUUUACGUACAUAAAUACAUUAAAAAUAUGUAAUAUCUUUAUCACACAAAAAUGAACAAUUCCAGAUCGUGGCUCCUCAAAUGGGGGCAGAACUAAAGGUGGGAUGGGGGUGCAUAAGGAUAUGUAUGGGUUAACAACUACGGGCCAGUUUUAUUUUCGAGGAGUGGGUUCAUGGGGUCUUAUUACAUGACUAAAAUCAUGUACACAAAAUUUUAUGGUUGUGGUUAUUUUCACAGUAACGCAUGAGAUGGGGAAAUCUGUUAUAUGAUGGAGUUUUAUAAAAGACCUUAGACCUUGGCUUUCAAGGCCGUUUUUAUGGCAGAGGAAUCCCUUGGGAACAUAUCUCUGCCCAGUCCCACACAGGCCAAGCUGAGGCAGCCCCAACUCCAGGUUUAGGACAAGGCAAGGAUAAUGAUGAAGGAAGUGACGGCCACGCAAGCUGCUUGGAGAUGAAUGGCCCACCCACAUGGUCCCUCCCCAGGUCCCUGGCCGCCAUCUAUAGUCUCGUCGCCCUUAGCACCAAAGGGUACUCUGAGGGAUUUCGUGAAUACACAAGAGCUUUCAGCAAGAGCUCCAUAAAUAUACAGACAAUUCUACCCUGAUUAAAAUCCAUAUUUAAAGCAUGAUGUUCUCCACUUGCAAAAGCAUUCAGGAGAGCUUUUAGAAUAAUCAAGAUUUUUGGGGGGGAAUACACCAAACUGCCAUUAAGAUGAGUUGAGCAUAAUAUCAUGAAGACGGGAUCAGAAUGUCAAGGUAACUAAGAAAGUGAAAAUUUAAACAAAUGUAGUUUUUGUUUUAAAGAAUAACUUUUUUGAAGUACCAGCAUAGAGCCUUUCUCAUGGGAGUCCUGGCACUGAAUAAUUUAUGUUAUUGAAAACCUUUGUUGAGGUAGUAUUAUUAGAGUCAGAAGGUAUUCUCAGACCUCUUCAUGUAUGGAAUCCAUUGAAAAUUGUAAUUUUAUGGUUUAUUGGGAAAAUAGCAAGGCUGCUCAUGGCCAUGAUAGCCUGAACCAACCACCUGGGAUGUGAAGACUUGACUUUGAUUUCUGGAUUUACUUCUUUCAUAUACUUCGGACAGUUAAAUUACUCCUCUGAGCCUUAGUUUACCUGUCUGAUCUUUGGGAAUAUGCCUGUUUGUAGUGAUUUUGCAUCUACUAGUUUUAGAAUAUAAAAAUUACCCUUUAGUAUAUCACAUACGUAAAAUACAAGGUGGUAGUUCAGUAUUAGCCAAAACCAGAGCAAAUCGAUUUGUACAAAUGCAUAGCCAUUCAAUUUUAUUGUUAUUUAAUUAUCUGGAUUUGAAGACCAGUACAUGGUACUUGUUAGGAGUUGAUAUUGAUGCUCUCAUGUAUUUGUGUGUCUGUCUUCUUUCUUUAGUCUGUUAGAAAGUAAAAAUCCCUGCUAUGUGUACACCUUGUACAAGUUAUUGUGAGAAAUAUGAAGAACUAGAAAACUAGGUUCUAUCCUCAUGGAUGUCAGUCUGGCUGGUAAGGUGUUGGUUUUACAUGAAUCAUAAAUGACAAAGUGGUGCCAUUUGCAGAAAAUAAAUGUAAAAAGACCUUAAAGAAGAUAGAGCUCCAUGGGCUUAGUGUCUUGCACUCAGUACUGUAGGCAGGGCAUAUGUAUAAGACCUAAUUGAAAUUCUUAGGGAAGAAUUUAAUGAGGACUGAAGAAUUGACUGAUCAGACAUAAAGGAUGGUGAAGUCUGGCUGUUCAGAGAGUAAUGGGGGAAAUACUUGAAUAGUUUUUAUUGUGUCUUCCCAAGAAAUUUACUUGGCAGCACAAUACUCAUUUCUGACGUGGCAAAGACUAAGUUUUAGAAAAGAAAUUUCUCCUAGACACCAUUAUAAAGUUUGAGUAUUUCUAUUAUGAUUUUAUUACUUCCCAUCUGUGGUAGAUGUUUUAUUGAAAUUAUUUGGAUGUUAUCAUCAAGCUGUGACAAUGAUGCUUUAAAGGUCACACGCAAAACACAAUUAAAUUUUCCAAGUGAAACAAGAAUAUGCAUUGUGAAAGGCAAAUAAUUUGAAGUUUCUUUUUUUUAAUGUGGGCUAUUUUAUGAUGACAUUUUGAGGUGUUUAAAUAGAUCACUAUGUUGUUUUUCUUCUUGAUUGCAAUUUUCCCUUCACUAUUUAUGUAGCUUAAAAAUAGAAACCCAGUGUGUUCAAGCUUCAACACUGUUGAGUCUUAUAGUUAAUAUAAACUUUAUUCUAAACUCAAUAGUAGGUCCUAUUACAACUGUGGAAACUUACUAUUAAAAUUAUUUUCUUAUGUAAAUGCGAUGGCUUCUGAUUGAUGGAGAUUUAAUAUGCAUAUUCUGGUUUACUGUAAAUUAGAUAAACCAGCUUUUCUGUUUUCUUCUUUUUUCCAUUACUGAUAAGGAGACAUCUCAGAUUCCCUCUGUCUAAAGUUUUGUGAUUUUAUUUUGUCUUACCUUUUUUUCCCCAUAAAAGAAAUGAAUAAUUAUUUCUUUCAAAUGGUAGGAAAUUAAUACUGGAAAAUUUUUAGUUAUUGCCUACCACAGAUUAUUUUAAUAUUAUGAUUCUUGUGAUCCUUUGACAGAUUUGUGAUGCUAACUCCUAAAUGCCACUAAAAAAGAGGUGUUUGGGUUCUAAUUUAAGGAGCAGUUCUUUAGGCAGCAGCAUACUGACUUCAGACAAAAAUUUCCUUGCAGUUACGAGCAAAGUGACAGAUGACACCUAAGAGUCUCAGUGAAGAUUGAGAAGAACACAAGUAUAACAAAAAGGGGAGACUCGGUAUCAUACCAGUUCUUGAUGUGAACCGACCCACUGGUUACUCUCGGUUGAAACAGUCUGACGCUGUCGCCGGUUUCUGUGUGGGUUGCUCACUGGUGUCCUUUCAGAGGGUGGGAAUACUACACAUCUGGGGUUACUGGGAUAGUAUUUUCCACUUUGAAUUAAGGCAGUAUGGUGUGUGUGUGGGGGUGUACUUAUAUCUACCUACCUAUCUUAGGUAAUAGAGAAUUAAUACCAUUCUUAUUAGUGGAGUCUAAUAUUUUCUUUGUUUAUCUCAACAACUGAUUAGUCUGCCCAGGCUUGACAUUAUUUUAAGGAUACAGUAGUGGGUCAGUGUUUGAAAUGAUUAAAAUUAUUAAAUACGCUGAAAUGCUUUUGAAAGCUUCCCUGGGCUGAAAGCCAGUUGAUUCUUGUCAGUGUUUUUACAUGACUGAGGUCAGUUACUUCAGCGUUAGAACAACCACAGCCUUGGUAAAUGGGUCACUUCUGCCCAGUGGUACAAUAUAGGAUCCUUUUAAAUGCUGCUGUAAUGGGUGUUUUAGUAAAUGUGUUUUGAUUGGAUAAGAAUGUAAAAGCUAUUUUGGAGUACUUUCAAAGGCAGAAGUUUAUAAUAAUGCAACUUGUUAAUUUUGCAUUCUGUGAUGUAUACAAUAAGAUUGAGGUUUUAAUGUUUGUAUUAAGUAGUAAAUGAAAAUAUUCAAAUGAGCCUAUUAUAGAAGAGGAAUUGUCUGUCUGUUAGAUUCUGUGUAAAAGAAAUUGGACCUCAAAAAUGGAACUAACUGAUAGAAGACCUGGGUUCUGAUUAUGGCCUACUUACAAACUGCCUUUGUGACUUGGGGAAGUCUUAAUAUUCUCCUCCUUAAAGAGGAUCUGUUCCAACUCUCCAUUUUAAAGCCUUCCUUAAUCGUGGAAUACUUUGUGAAGGAGGCAAGUGUGGCAUUGGUGAAUGUGCAGGCAUCUGUUACAGGACCUUGAAGGUAUAAGGAGGGUACAGUACCUGGUGGUAAAACUUGAACACCCAGAGAACGCAGAGGCCUGCUGCUAAGCAGAGCUGGACCGAUGGUUCAACAUAAGCACACAGGUUGGAAACAGGUGGCCCCUGGGCUGACUGCUAGUUUUAAUGCUUAUCCUGAAGCAUUCUAUCAAACGCCCUUCCAGGUGCACGCUCUCUCCACUCCUCACUGUCUCUACACUUCCUUAGUCUCAUGCUAGACCGUUUGACUGCCUUUCGCUUCUGAAAUUUUUUGAGGUUACCCCACGUUGGCAUAAUAUGUAAACAUAGGAUUUUGAGAGGAGAGUGACAUGCUCAGAUGUGCUUAUAAGAAAGCAUCCUUGAACAAAACAGUGCAGGGUUGAUAAAGAAGAGUCAAGGGUCGUGGCCGGGUAGCCAGCCGUGUAAGAAAGUCAACACCAGUGUUUUUUAUUUUAUUUCUUCCCGUCUUCCUCAGUAUGGUUUUGUAUGUUAAAAAUUUUAAUCAGUAUGUAGAACAAGUGAAUCCAAAUGAUUUUUUGCUCUCAUUUAAAAGCUGAUGCGUUGAAAUAUGAACUAAGUCAAUUAUCAUCUCAUCCUUAUCUUGGCACAGAACUUGGAUGUGUGUAUGACAUUGGACUCUUGGCUUAAAAAAAA